rnacentral:rRNA from 1 species
ACGAACGCUGGCGGCGUGCUUAACACAUGCAAGUCGAACGGAAAGACCCUGCUUUUGUGGGGUGCUCGAGUGGCGAACGGGUGAGUAACACGUGAGUAACCUGCCCUUGACUUUGGGAUAACUUCAGGAAACUGGGGCUAAUACCGGAUAGGAGCUCCUGCUGCAUGGUGGGGGUUGGAAAGUUUCGGCGGUUGGGGAUGGACUCGCGGCUUAUCAGCUUGUUGGUGGGGUAGUGGCUUACCAAGGCUUUGACGGGUAGCCGGCCUGAGAGGGUGACCGGCCACAUUGGGACUGAGAUACGGCCCAGACCCCUACGGGAGGCAGCAGUGGGGAAUAUUGCACAAUGGGCGGAAGCCUGAUGCAGCAACGCCGCGUGCGGGAUGACGGCCUUCGGGUUGUAAACCGCUUUCGCCUGUGACGAAGCGUGAGUGACGGUAAUGGGUAAAGAAGCACCGGCUAACUACGUG